rnacentral:rRNA from 1 species
UGAACGCGAAGAACCUUACCAACCCUUGACAUGGGGAGUAUGGGCCUGAGAGAUCGGGUCCUUCAGUUCGGCUGGCUCCCACACAGGUGCUGCAUAGAUAUAGACAGCUCGUGUCGUGAGAUGUUGGGUUAAGUCCCGCAACGAGCGCAACCCUCCUCUUCAGUUGCCAGCAUUGAGUUGGGCACUCUGGAGAUACUGCCGGUGACAAGCCGGAGGAAGGCGGGGAUGACGUCAAGUCCUCAUGGCCCUUACGGGUUGGGCUACACACGUGCUACAAUGGCGGUGACAGUGGGCAGCGAAGGGGCGACCUGGAGCUAAUCCCCAAAAGCCGUCUCAGUUCGGAUUGCACUCUGCAACUCGAGUGCAUGAAGUUGGAAUCGCUAGUAAUCGCGGAUCAGCACGCCGCGGUGAAUACGUUCCCGGGUCUUGUACACACGCA